CUAAUUCCUUCAGCUUUCUUUCUCUCCGCUUUCUUUCUUCCUCCCAUCUCUUUAACUUCCCUCUAUCUCCCAAAUAGACAACAGGCAUCUCUCCCUCUCCCCUCAUCUCACCUAUGCCCGCAGCAAUUUUGGUGAAGAAGCGGAGAUUUUCCCACGAGAGCGCUUGCUGAUCAAAUUCCUCCACAAAGAUAUCUUCGUUUUUUUGGCUCUAAUCUCCUCUUUUAUUUCGAUUGAUUGAUCCAUCUAUAUCUCCUAUUUUUGUUUCUUCUUUAACUCGAAUUGAUUUGGGGUGAUCGAUCUGUCAAUGAUGCAAUGUAUAGCGAGAUACUGAAGUUGGCGGAGGGGGAGGAGCCAAAGCCGUUGCCGCAGGAUGAGGACCUUCCAGGGAUGGGGCAGUUCAAUUGCGUCCAUUGCGAGUAAGAUUUGAAAUUGAGCCGAUAUUUUGCGAAGGUCAAUGUUAGGGAGGAGCACUUCCGGUUGAAGCGCCACAACAAAUGGUGAGCUCUCUUUUUUUUGGCGCAGUUGGAUCAUUACUAUCAAGUCUUGAUCUCUUCGUACCAACAACGCUUGUCAUCCUCUACCCAUCUGCACAUAAUUAUAUUUUUUCUCUCUUUAUUUAAUUGUUUUAAAAAUUAUAAAAUAUGUUAUUAUAGUGGUUUGAGUUUUUUUUUUAUGAAAAGAGUAAAAAAGAAAUGGUUUGAGAAAUUCAUUAUAGUAGCUUGAGUUUUUAGAAAAAACCAAAAUACUUUGAAAACUUUUAUAUUGAUCAUAAUAUGUAAUUUACUUUAUUCAUAAUAGACAAGGUAUAUCAUUUCAUCAACGACAUAUGAAAAUAAUAUUCCUUGCCGAUUUUUUUUUAUUAUUUUUUUUUUGUUGGAUUUUUUUUUUUCUCUAUAUUCUUUCCUGUUGACUGAAGAUGGACCAUCAUCGCCAUGAAUGUUGCCCGAUGUAUUAUCAUUUCCGCCAUUUCUUCCAUGAAUGUUUGCUAUUGCCCGAUGCAUUGUUGUUUUUGCCGUUUCUUCCACCCUUCCUUCCUUCUUUGUAAUUUAAUAUUGUAAAUUUCCAAACGGUAGAGAUCAGAAUAUUGACCGAAUUUAUGCAUCAAGUAAGAAUAUUAUUUUUUUUAUUUUA